rnacentral:tRNA from 1 species
GGCGACGUAGCUCAGUUGGUUAGCAGCGAGGGACUCAUAAGCCCUAGGUCGUUGGUUCGAAUCCAACCGUCGCCA